CAGUGGAAGAAGACAAAAGGAAUUGGCAAGAAAAGGGGCAUAUACAUACAUACAUACAUACGUUAACUCCAAAUCAAAGUGAGCGUAUUAAUUUCAUUUCAUAGCAUCAUAACGGGUGAUUUUUUUGAGGUUAGGAUUUUCAUGCAUUAGUAUUUGACAGAUCACGUGGGAUUUCAGACAUGGUGUCAAAG